CUGAAAGAAUCCCAUGACCUUGACACUUUAGAGCAAGCUCAUUGUUCCUGAUUUCUAUUGAAGGGAACUCCUCUCCAAGCCUGGAAAUGGAGACAUCAGCAGACAUCUUACCGACUUCCCGGGUUCCUUCUGUGUGGAGAGAGAUUGUCUACGCUUCCUUCUCCAGGACCAUGACACAAGAGGAGAAAACAAUGAGGUGUGACCAAUAUAUGCUGUUUGCCUGGGAACUUUUGCAUACGGGGUCCUGAUGAGCCCCUUGGUCCCAGCUUUAAGUCUGAGCAAAAUACCGGUGUCGACUGAAGGUUAAGAGGUCAAGAUUCAACACCGCAGCAGGCUUCAUGUUGAGAUGGUCUCAGCCUCAGCCUUGCCACUCACU